GUACAUAUAUACAUCAACGAGACCAGAUCUGGAAACCUCGAACUUGACGAGCGAAGGAACCGGAGUGGGCGGUCGACGGCGGAGUCGCCGAUGCGAUCCUCGCCAAGUCGAAGCAGUUCGAUCGACUCGUACUGGCAAUAUCACUGAAGACCAGAUGUUGACGGUAGAUGGCCAUCCAAUUACUUUUUAUUAUCUUGUAAAGAGCCGCUGGCAAUGCAUGCUCAAACUCCUAGAAGCAGAGAUGAUAGACUCGAACAAUUUCAUCAAGGUGACAGCGCGGCUCUUUGUGAACCGGUGGCUUGGGAAAAGAGUAGUGGUCGGGACCCCACAAGUUUACAAGACCGGGCGGUGGCCGCACAUCCGACAACAUCUUGUCAUGGCGCCAUGAGAUUUUUCUCGAGAUAUCCGGCGGUCCUGCUUGGGCCUCAGAUCCAACGACGGUGUUUGCGCACAGUCCAUGACCAUGGGGGUCCUCCCCCAUCACAUGGAGGUGGAUCGUCGUUUUCAGCUAGGUUGGCUGAAUCGAUCGGACACCAGCCAUGGCCUUCUUCUACUGAGAAGGCAUUUUCUUUUUGUUGUGGAUAUAUUAUGAUUGGCACUAUCACGAUGGUGCAAACAAAUAUCUAUCACGCCAGACAUAUUUGCACC